rnacentral:rRNA from 1 species
GAUGAACGCUGGCGGCGUGCCUAAUACAUGCAAGUCGAGCGAACGGACGAGAAGCUUGCUUCUCUGAUGUUAGCGGCGGACGGGUGAGUAACACGUGGAUAACCUACCUACAAGACUGGGAUAACUUCGGGAAACCGGAGCUAAUACCGGAUAAUAUUUUGAACCGCAUGGUUCAAAAGUGAAAGACGGUCUUGCUGUCACUUAUAGAUGGAUCCGCGCUGCAUUAGCUAGUUGGUAAGGUAACGGCUUACCAAGGCAACGAUGCAUGGCCGACCUGAGAGGGUGAUCGGCCACACUGGAACUGAGACACGGUCCAGAUUCCUACGGGAGGCAGCAGUAGGGAAUCUUCCGCAAUGGGCGAAAGCCUGACGGAGCAACGCCGCGUGAGUGAUGAAGGUCUUCGGAUCGUAAAACUCUGUUAUUAGGGAAGAACAUAUGUGUAAGUAACUGUGCACAUCUUGACGGUACCUAAUCAGAAAGCCACGGCUAACUACGUG